AGCAGCCGCGGUAAUUCCAGCUCCAAUAGCGUAUAUUAAAGUUGUUGCAGUUAAAAAGCUCGUAGUUGAAUUUCGGGAUCAAUUUAUUGGUCGUGCUAUUGUACGUACUGGUAUUAUUGAUUCCUACCUUCUGACGAACCAUGAUGUCAUUAAUUUGGUGUCUUGGGGAAUCAGGACUGUUACUUUGAAAAAAUUAGAGUGUUUAAAGCAGGCUCACGCUUGAAUACAUUAGCAUGGAAUAACGAAAUAGGACGUUUGAUUCUAUUUUGUUGGUUUCUAGGAUCGACGUAAUGAUUAAUAGGGAUAGUUGGGGGCAUUAGUAUUCAAUUGUCAGAGGUGAAAUUCUUGGAUUUAUUGAAGACUAACUACUGCGAAAGCAUUUGCCAAGGAUGUUUUCAUUAAUCAAGAACGAAAGUUAGGGGAUCGAAGACGAUCAGAUACCGUCGUAGUCUUAACCAUAAACUAUGCCGACUAGGGAUCGGAUGAUGUUAAUUUUUAAUGAC
rnacentral:rRNA from 1 species